rnacentral:lncRNA from 1 species
AUCCCAGGCCAGGAAGGGAGGUGGAGGGACCCCUGGGGCAUGCUGGGGGAUCCAGUUCUAGCCACAAAACACUUUAAAAUCCACAAUACCCAUGAUUUCAUAACUGAGUAAUUUCCAGUGAGGAAACUUGAGCCUUAGUUACCAGAGAAGACUGAGAAGUUGUGACUUGUCUAAUGUCUUACAGCUAGUAUGUGUCAGAGAAAUCAUUAUUCUGAGAUGGAGGUCCAUUGGCUUCAUCAGAUUUCCAAAAGGGCCCACGAUACAAAAAAGCUUUAGGAUUCUUCAAAAAUUAUUCUUCACUACCUGUCUGUCUGCUGAGGUUCUUCUCUGUUGCUGGAGUAGAGGGUUAUUCCAGGUUUUCAGAGUAUUCUUCUCUGGUACUUAAGGUAGGCUCAGCUGCCUUUGUUUUGUAACUCUGAGUAUAAUUCUAG